UGUACCAAUGAAGGAAUGUGGCGGUCAAGGAGCCCCAACCCCCCACCAGGGGAAGGCAAGAGCACUGUGGAAUUGGUCAUAGACACCAUGUGAUCCAACACCCAGGGUUGCCAGGGAAGACAAACCUCAGAAGACUCUCAGGACACACCCUGGCCCUGUUCCACUUUGCCAGGACACGUGACAUGUGACAUGUGACAUGGGUCAUGCAGGUGACUCCAGGACAAGCACUCUGUGGUAAAGCCAACAGCCGCCCAAGCAUCCCGGUGUGAGGAAGGGUGGUUCCUCCUGCCCUCUGACGCUGGCCUCUCCUGCCCUACUCUCCAAACGACCCAACUCACCUUCCAGAAGUGUUCCUGGGGUGCUCCAGUCUCACGGUGACUGCUCCAUGCCUUCUGGGUCAC